GAAAAGACUGCCAGAAAUUUCUGCCUGUUUCGUGGGAUGGAGUUUGGGCCUGCCUGGUGACAUCAUGAGGCUGUAAAUGUGUGAAUUGGGGGCUUGCAGUUGCUUCACAAAUCACCCAUCAACCGCCAUGUUGGAAGAACAAACUCAGUUUGUUGAAAGUCCUCCAAUCGUUGACAUGGCUGGCUGCGUUUUGCUACCACCGGAAACUUCAGGAAGAUUUCCCAUAAUUUUUUUGAAGGACCUAGAAAACGGAGGCUGUGGGAGAACCUAUUCAAAUACAGAGAACCAUCAAAUCCUGUCUGCAGAUGAACAGAUCCCAAUGAAUGUUAAUGGUACAUACAGUGCAUUCAGACCCCUUCCAUUGUUAGGUUAGUCUUAUUCGAAAAUUGUUAAAUUAUUUUUUUUCCAAUCUACACAAUACCUCUGACAGUUUGGGAAAUAUACAAAACACAGAAAUCCCUUAUUUACAUAAGUAUUUAAACCCUUUGCUAUGAGAUUUGAAAUUGAGCUCAGGUGCAUCCCGUUUCCAUUGAUGUUUCUACAACUUGAUUGGAGUACGUACACCUGUGGUAAAUUCAAUUGAUUUAACAUUUGGAAAAGCACACACCUGUCUAUAAAGGUCUCACAGUUGACAGUGCAUGUCAGAGCAAAAACCAAGCCAUGAGGUUGAAAGAAUUGUCCGUAGAGCUCUGAGACAGGAUUGUGUUGAGGCACAGAUCUGAGGAAGGGUGGCAAAAAAGUCUGCUGCAUUGAAGGUCCAAGAACAGUGGCCUCCAUCAUUCUUAAAAAUGGAAGAAGUUUGGAACCACCACUGUUCCUAGGGCUGAGCAAUCUGGGAAGAAGGUCAGGGAGGUGACCAAGGACCUGAUUGACAGCAUUUGAGUUCCUCUGGAGAUGAUUGUCCUUCUGGAAGGUUCUCCCAUCUCUGCUGCACUCCACCAAUCAGGCCUUUAUGGUAGCGUGGCCAGACUGAAGCCACUCCGUAAAAAGCACAUGACAGCACUUGAGGUGGAUCUGCAGAGAAGAAUGCCACACCUGUAUUUGGAAUUUCUCCCAAUCUUUUAGCUUCAGACUCCAAAAAACAAGGCUGUAAUUGCUGCCAAAGGUACAUCAACAAACAGUCUGAAUACUUUAAAUGUGUUCAAUGCCAGAUACUUAUCCAAGAAGGUCUGAGUGGCACUUGGAGGUGCUAAUGAAGAUGGUUUACCUAAGACUACCACAAUUACAUUAAACACAUAACAUAGUCAAAUUGUAAAGAAAGAAAUUAGUUGGUAUAAGAAUGUUUUAUUCAAUGGGGCUAGGCAACGCAGAGAUGACAAUACUUUAUUUCACCCAUACAACAACGUAGCCUGUUAUUAAAGUACAAUAUUGUAAACAAUAGUUGUUUUUUUUUACACCUUCCAAAUGACAUUUUAUAUAUUAAUAUGGUGUAAGAGGGCACUUUUUCUAUGAUGACAAGGUGAAGGUGCUCUACUCAAAUGGCACAACUGAAUAUUUUAAAUUGAUCAAAGCAAAGCAUAUAACAACCAUAUUGUAUAAUUGAGGGAUGUCUCCUUUCAUAUCUGGAAAAUGGUGAAGUAGAAACUGAUGCUACUGCAGCAUUGCUCAUCUUCAGUGGUAAGCCAGUUGACAUGGGUGCC